rnacentral:rRNA from 1 species
CACGCCGUAAACGAUGGGUGCUAGGUGUUGGGGGUAUCGACCCCUCCAGUGCCGGAGCAAACGCAAUAAGCACCCCGCCUGGGGAUUACGGCCGCAAGGCUGAAACUCAAAGGAAUUGACGGGGGCCCGCACAAGCGGUGGAGCAUGUGGUUUAAUUCGACGCAACGCGAAGAACCUUACCAGGGUUUGACAUGCCCCGAAGCCUUUGGAAACGAAGGCGUGCCUUCGGGAGCGGGGACACAGGUGG